GACGUAGGGCGCGAGCGUUGUCCGGAUUUAUUGGGCGUAAAGAGCUCGUAGGCGGCUUGUCGCGUCGACUGUGAAAACCCGCGGCUCAACUGCGGGCCUGCAGCCGAUACGGGCAGGCUAGAGUUCGGUAGGGGAGACUGGAAUUUCUGGUGUAGCGGUGAAAUGCGACAGAUAUCAGGAGGAACACCGGUGGCGAAGGCGGGUCUCUGGGCCGAUACUGACGC
rnacentral:rRNA from 1 species